AUUGAACGCUGGCGGCAUGCUUUACACAUGCAAGUCGAACGGCAGCGCGGGCUUCGGCCUGGCGGCGAGUGGCGAACGGGUGAGUAAUGCAUCGGAACGUGCCCAGUAGUGGGGGAUAGCCCGGCGAAAGCCGGAUUAAUACCGCAUACGACCUGAGGGUGAAAGCGGGGGACCGAAAGGCCUCGCGCUAUUGGAGCGGCCGAUGUCGGAUUAGCUAGUUGGUGGGGUAAAGGCUUACCAAGGCGACGAUCCGUAGCUGGUCUGAGAGGACGACCAGCCACACUGGGAAUGAGAAAAGGACCAGACUCCUACGGGAGGCAGCAGUGGGGAAUUUUGGACAAUGGGGGCAACCCUGAUCCAGCCAUGCCGCGUGCGGGAAGAAGGCCUUCGGGUUGUAAACCGCUUUUGUUCGGGAAGAAAUCCUCUGGGCUAAUACCCCGGGGGGAUGACGGUACCGGAAGAAUAAGCACCGGCUAACUACGUG
rnacentral:rRNA from 1 species